CAACCACAUCAGCCAGCUCUUGCACUCAACAGGGGAGUUGAAACUCGAUGAUCUUUGAGGUCCUUUUCAACCCAGGCCAUUCUAUGAUGCUAUUAGAUUCUUUAGGACACUGGGGUGCAUGUCAUCUGGCCCCAUAGACUUGUAUAUAUUCAGUCUCAUGAGGCGGUCUUGGACUUGCUCUGCCCUUACAGUAGGGGGUGAUUUACUCCCCCAUUUCUGACCUAGAGGCCCAGGAUGCUAGUUUCAGGGACGUGAGAAAUACAAGAAUCCUGGCUGCCAGUGAAGACUGAAGCAAAAAAAACCUAGUUUAGUACCUCACCCUUCUCUUUUCUCUUUGGCCUGCCUCUUCUGGCCAAUGUACCUAUAGAAUCCCUUCUUGUUAUUUUUAACAUCCCUUGCCAAGUUCGAUUCCAUCUGCACCUUGGCUUUCCUAAUCCCCUCUCUGGAAAUCUGGACAGCAAAAACUAUGGAACACUUCACAAAUUUGCACACACUGACAGAGUGAGCACUGUGGUUGGAAUACUGGAAUCUUUUCUGAAUACGUUUGACAGAACUUCAUGGAGGGGCUGGCCUCUUCAGAUUAUCAAAGGUAGGAUAACGUACAUCUAAAAAACAAGCAAGAGUUACCCCAGACAAUUUUAUUUAGAUUUAGUGCUCAGUGUCUCUUUUCUAAGUAGCACUUAGUCUUCCUAGUCUACAUAAAUAUAAAAGCUAGGUGCAUGUAUGCCUUCAUUAUUCCCACUCUGUAGAGGAUCUCUUCUCAGAUCAUGCUAGCCCAUGUCCUCAUUGUUUGGUUGUGGUAAAAACAGUAGGAGCAUAAUUUGAACAAUGCUAAGUCACUGAAACUUCUCCAAGCAUUCACAUUCAAGCAAAACAAGCGUCAGUAAGAACUAAAAAAAACCUCAUAGGAUAACAAUAAAAAAGCCAUGAUAGAUAGCUCAGCCAAAAGGUUUUAACUCCUGAAAGGUCAAAGAAAAAAUGCACUGAAUUUACAGUGUCUGCUAAUGAUAAAAUUCUGGAGGAUGCUGCUAUACUCAUCGCACUCAUGCAUCUAAUCUCUUUUUUUUUAAUAGCUACAAGAUAGGACCAUUGAAUUAGACCUUUCAGAAACAAUCUGUCAGAGGAAUUUGGUGUGUUAAGCUGGUAGAGUCCCCAACUAAGAAAAUAAUUUUCGGUACUUCAUAGUUUUUAAUACAAAAAGUGUAAACAUAGCUAAAAUGAGUGCAGAGGUCAGUUGUAAGGGAAAGGACUGGUGCUACAGAUUAUAAAGGAAAAAAGAUCCUCUUUAUUUUAUAUUUUGUGACUUGAGGUGUUUUUUUGUCCUUAUCUCUCCCUACAGAGUGGAACACUUGAACAGUCACUGAACAAAGGGUGGGACGAAGGAGAUUCUUUAACUAACUGGAGUGUCAUUCUCUUGCUGUCUCAGUAAUUCUUCAAAGAUAAAAUGCUACCAGUGUCAGUGGUGUGCUCACAAAAUGGAAUAAAGAACUAUAAGCCUACUGCUAUAUUUGUAGGAAAAAGCAAUGAUUGAAAGCCAGAACGAAGAGGUGCCAGAAGAACCAAGAAGGCUGCAAGUUCCCAAGAAGCCAGCAAAGUACACUCAGGCCAAGGCCUUGCUAACUGGAAACUAUGAGGAAAGUACCUAUAGGAGAUCCUGCAGUGUCCAGUUGCUCCUCUAUUUUGUUUUUGUCAGAUAAAGCACAAAUGUUUACCGUGGCUUUACUUUUAUUUCUUUAACUUUUUUUAAUCCUCUUUAUGCCUUUAAAGAACAAAUGUUAGAAUGUUCUGAACUCAGAAUAGUACCUGGUUAUAUGCAAUUGAGUGCAAAUCACACAGACUGUAUCUAUUCAACACACUCUCAGGAGCAGCCUCCCACUGAUUUCAGUGUUGCUGUACUCAUCCAUGGAUCCUACUGAAGCAAGUGUGAAUAUUCCUCUAGACCUCCCUGGAUUUUGGCAGGAUUCUGAGUCUGCUGAGCCCCUGCAUAGAAACACAGGACUGGUGGAACCCAUGGUCCUGCUGUCACAGCCAAACCUACAAUCAAGUUUUGUUCCCAACUAACACACUAACUCUGUCUUAAGAAGUUAGCUGUCUUGUUUUCUUACUUUAUUUUAGUUUAAAAGAUGCUCCAGAGCCUUAAGCAUAACAUGAACCAAUCUUUAAUUUUCACUGUAAUAAAAGGUUACUUAUCUUC